rnacentral:piRNA from 1 species
UGGAAGGACUGAGGACAGGUUUCGCA